GAUUUGUUUAGCUUGAUUAAUUUGUUGGUGGCCAAGCCAUUUAGGAAGUCUUUAUCCAAUUCCAAAAGGCUAAAAUAAAUGUAAAAUAAAUCAUGUAUAAUGCUAAAAAUAAUUUUAAAAAAUUAAAUAAUAUUUUACACAACAAAUUAUUGAUUAAUUUUAGUUUUUAUGAUAUAGUUCUUCAAAAACACCGGUAAACCAAAUUUUCUAAUCAAAAUUAAUACUCUGAUCUGAAAAUAUGUAGAUUAAUCUGAACUGACCCAAAAUUCUUUAUGUAUAGCAAACCAAUGGGUAACUCAAAAUGACUCACAACUUGGAAUAAUCUGAACCACCCGACCUGACCCAUGAUUUACA
rnacentral:misc_RNA from 1 species